rnacentral:rRNA from 1 species
GACGAACGCUGGCGGCGUGCUUAACACAUGCAAGUCGAACGGAAAGGCCCCUUUGGGGGUACUCGAGUGGCGAACGGGUGAGUAACACGUGAGUAACCUGCCCUUGACUUCGGGAUAACUUCAGGAAACUGGGGCUAAUACCGGAUAGGAAUCCUUGCUGCAUGGUGGGGGUUGGAAAGCUUCGGCGGUUUUGGAUGGACUCGCGGCUUAUCAGCUUGUUGGUGGGGUAGCGGCUUACCAAGGCUUUGACGGGUAGCCGGCCUGAGAGGGCGACCGGCCACAUUGGGACUGAGAUACGGCCCAGACUCCUACGGGAGGCAGCAGUGGGGAAUAUUGCACAAUGGGCGGAAGCCUGAUGCAGCAACGCCGCGUGCGGGAUGACGGCCUUCGGGUUGUAAACCGCUUUCAGCAGGGGCGAAGCUUUUGUGACGGUACCUGCAGAAGAAGCACCGGCUAACUACGUG